CCAAAAAAUGCCCCACGCGCCAACGCAUGUGAGAGACGCUAGGGACAAACAAGGUACGUGUACUCAUGCAAAUGGCCGGACGACGGCGCUUCCGCCGAGAAAGUGCAGAUCGGCGAGUGGGCUGCAGUUUGAGGUGGGUGGUGAACUGUUCAAGAAAUUUCAUGCCAAAAAUUUGGUUGUGCUCUGAUACCAUGUUGAGAACAGUAAAUUUGGUGAAAAAAAUCUCUAUUUCUUAUGUGUUUAAACAUAUACAAGG
rnacentral:misc_RNA from 1 species